GCCAAAGGUGGUGUAGUGGUCUGAACACUGGACUAUGAUUCUGGAGACCAGGGAUUGAAUCCUGUUUUGGCA